GACGAACGCUGGCGGCGUGCCUAAUACAUGCAAGUCGAACGCAUUUUCUUUCACCGUGGUUUCCUCCCCCGAGAGAGUAUGAUUGGCGAACGGGAGAGUAACACGUGGGUAAUCUGUCCCUCAGCGGGGGAUAACACUUGGAAACAAGCGAUAAUCCCGCAUUAUUCCUUUUACCGUAUUGUAAAUGGAUGAAAGGCACUUUUGCGACACUGAUGGAUGGACGCGCGGUGUAUUAGCUAGUAGGUGGGGUAACGGCCCACCUAGGCGGCGAUGCAUAGCCGACCUGAGAGGGUGAUCGGCCACACUGGGACUGAGACACGGCCCAGACUCCUACGGGAGGCAGCAGUAGGGAAUCUUCGGCAAUGGACGAAAGUCUGACCGAGCAACGCCGCGUGAGUGAAGAAGGGUUUCGGAUCGUAAAGCUCUGUUGUUAGAGAAGAACAAGGGUGAGAGUGGAAAGUUCACCCCUUGACGGUAUCUAACCAGAAAGCCACGGCUAACUACGUG
rnacentral:rRNA from 1 species